rnacentral:sRNA from 1 species
GGAUGUGAGCAUGACCUGGGUGAGGUAUCUAUCAACCUAUUUAUCAUCAGGGUUUAUUUGAGUGAUGUAGCUGGCUACCUGAGUGUCACCUUUCUCCCUCACAUUUCCUUGUGUGUCUACCUGUAGAAACGACAUGCUUUAUCAAAGAGGACAACUGCCCCUGAUAGGGAAGGAUAGUUCUUUGUUGUUGGUUAUAUGCAUUGUAUAUGAGUUGUUGGGAUCAUCUGUAUAUAUGCAUUUUAUUCAACUAUAAAGAAGAAUAGAAUCAUUAUUU